rnacentral:lncRNA from 10 species
CUAUACUAGCCAAGCUCUAGCUACAUUUUUCUCUAUGUGGAAUAUUAAACACAUUACUGGUAUCCCAUACAAUUCUCAAGGACAAGCCAUAGUGGAAAGAAUGAAUCUCUCCCUAAAACAGCAGUUGCAAAAGCAGAAAGGGAGAGACAGAGAAUAUGGAACCCCACAAAUGCAACUGAACCUAGCAUUAUUAAUUUUAAAUUUUUUGAGCCUGCCCAAAGGCCAGAUGUUAUCAGCAGCUGAACAGCAUCUACAGAAACCAGCUGCAAAGACAGAAACAGAACAACUGAUUUGGUGGAGAGAUCCGAUAACAAAAAGUGGGAAAUAGGUAAAAUAAUAAUUUGGGGUAGAGGUUAUGCUUGUAUUUCUCCAGGCCAAAAUCAACAGCCAAUUUGGAUACCAUCAAGACACCUGAAACCUUAUCAUGAGCCAGAUGCCAAGGAAGAGAUUCGGGAGGAUCCUGAGGACCCCCCGGUUGCAGCCAUGUUGAGACUGAUGCUGAGGAGGACCCCAACUGUCACGAGCAACACCCGUCGACCACAGCCACCCACCUGGGGACAGAUCAAGAAGCUGUCACAGAUGGCGGAGGAAAGCGGAACAACCAGUCACAAUGAAUAAUUUAAUGGUAGCUAUGAUAGUGGUUAUCACCACUGCCUCUGCAGAUAUGGAUCCUGACUCCUGCAAGAAAUAGCUCACCGUGACAAAGCUGCCCUUGCUUUUAUCGAUUUGCAAAUCAAAGAAGGGGGACAUGUUGGGAGCAGGCCCCCCCCCCCAAAAUCUGGCCAUAAUCUCUGCAGCACUAUGACAUGUUCAUGACGGCCAUAAUGCCCACACUGGAAGAUUGUGGGUUUAUGGGAAUGAGGGCAAGGAACACCUGGCCCACCCAGGGCGGAAAACUGCUUAAAGGCAUUCUUAAGCCACAAACAAUAGCAUGAACGAUCUGUGCCUUAAGGACAUACUCCUGCUGCAGUUAACUAGCCCAACCUAUUCCUUUAAUUCAGCCCAUCCCUUCUUUUCCCAUAAGGGAUACUUCUAGUUAAUUUAAUAUCUAUAGAAACAAUGCUAAUGACUGGCUUGCUGUUAAUAAAUACGUGGGUAAAUCUCUGUUUGGGGCUCUCAGCUCUGAAGGCUGUGAGACCCCUGAUUUCCCACUUCACACCUCUAUAUUUCUGUGUGUGUCUUUAAUUCCUCU